rnacentral:lncRNA from 1 species
GCGCCGGAGCGGAGUGGAGUCCAGUUAAAUUUUUUGGAGCUGGUCCAAGCUGGCUCCGCGGAGCGGAGCAUUGCCGAACAGUGCCUAAGUUAGUCUGGCUCCGGAGGUGGUUCGUUCUUACAGUCCGAGAUCCAUUGCAUGGUGACAGUGAGUUGAAGAGUGUUUUGCUUGCUUGAUAUCCAUUGCGUUUUUUUUGAGUCUGUGACAUCCAUUGCAUGGUGACAGUGGGUUAGAAGAAUGUCUUGCUUGAUGAGAUAUAAGACGCUGGCUUCGUUC